GGCGUCGUAGCCAAGUGGUAAGGCAUGGCUCUGCAAAAGCUUGACCCCCGGUUCGAAUCCGGGCGACGCCUGCCA
rnacentral:tRNA from 2 species